rnacentral:lncRNA from 1 species
CUUUCUUUUCACUUGUCCGACAGCAUGAGUCACAGUUGCCAAGCUGACACCGAAACUAUUUGCAGACUAUAGCACCUAUUGAUGAGUUUUUCAAUCUGCAGGCAUUUUGCAUAGGGCAGAUGCUGGACUUGUGAUGAUGUCAGAAAUCGCGAUUGGUACACCAAAGGGUGGCUUACGGUUUUGGAGAGCGAAGUUAUUCUCUUGCCAUUGUUUUCCUCCAGCUAUAAGCAGGUAUCAUUUUUGUCCUGACAAGAGGAGGCUCCACCUGCCGACUGCCCACCAACGCAUCCAGCUGUCUGCUUUGCAGAACGGGCAAGCUUGUUUUCAGAAUUUGAAAAACGGAGAUACAAAGGGAGCUGUGGCAGCUGAAUUCUCUUUCAUGUGUGUCCAGUCCAGGUGAAGCCCAGCAUAAUGUACUGUAAUAUGUCUCUUCAAUUCUCUGAUACAAUGACCUGUGCAUCCUCUAAAUCCCCCACAGAAUGCGCAGACACAGACUGAUUGAGGUGAGUAUGGACUUAAGUAUAUAUAUUGUUCUUUGUAGCUCUGAGGAAUUGGCACUUUUGCCAA